UACGUAGGGGGCAAGCGUUGUCCGGAGUCAUUGGGCGUAAAGCGCGUGUAGGCGGCCCGGUAAGUCCGCUGUGAAAGUCGGGGGCUCAACCCUCGAAUGCCGGUGGAUACUGUCGGGCUAGAGUGCGGGAGAGGCGAGUGGAAUUCCUGGUGUAGCGGUGAAAUGCGCAGAUAUCGGGAGGAACACCAAUGGCGAAGGCAGCUCGCUGGGACGUGACUGACGCUGAGACGCGAAAGCGUGGGGAGCAAACAGG
rnacentral:rRNA from 1 species